rnacentral:rRNA from 1 species
UACGAAGGGGGCUAGCGUUGCUCGGAAUCACUGGGCGUAAAGCGCACGUAGGCGGCUUCUUAAGUCAGGGGUGAAAUCCUGGAGCUCAACUCCAGAACUGCCUUUGAUACUGAGGAGCUUGGAGUCCGGGAGAGGUGAGUGGAACUGCGAGUGUAGAGGUGAAAUUUGUAGAUAUUCGCAAGAACACCAGUGGCGAAGGCGGCUCACUGGCCCGGUACUGACGCUGAGGUGCGAAAGCGUGGGGAGCAAACAGG